rnacentral:rRNA from 1 species
AUUGAACGCUGGCGGCAUGCCUUACACAUGCAAGUCGAACGGCAGCGGGGGAGAAGCUUGCUUUUCCUGCCGGCGAGUGGCGAACGGGUGAGUAAUACAUCGGAACGUGCCCUGUAGUGGGGGAUAACUAGUCGAAAGAUUAGCUAAUACCGCAUACGACCUGAGGGUGAAAGUGGGGGACCGCAAGGCCUCAUGCUAUAGGAGCGGCCGAUGUCUGAUUAGCUAGUUAGUGGGGUAAAGGCCUACCAAGGCGACGAUCAGGAGCUGGUCUGGACGGACGUUCAGCCGACAUGGGGAUGAGGAGCAGCCCAGACUCCUACCGGAGGCAGCAGUGAGGAAUUUUGGACAAUGGGCGAAAGCCUGAUCCAGCAAUGCCGCGUGUGUGAAGAAGGCCUUCGGGUUGUAAAGCACUUUUGUCCGGAAAGAAAUGGCUCUGGUUAAUACCUGGGGUCGAUGACGGUACCGGAAGAGUAAGGACCGGCUAACUACGUGCCAGCAGCCGCAGUAA